rnacentral:rRNA from 1 species
UACGUAGGCAGCAAGCGUCGUUCGGAGUUACUGGGCGUAAAGGGUGUGUAGGCGGUUUUUUAAGUUUGGUGUGAAAUCUCCCGGCUCAACUGGGAGGGUGCGCCGAAUACUGAAAGACUAGAGUGCGGGAGAGGAAAGUGGAAUUCCUGGUGUAGCGGUGAAAUGCGUAGAUAUCAGGAGGAACACCGGUGGCGAAAGCGGCUCUCUGGGACGGUACUGACGCUGAGACGCGAAAGCGUGGGGAGCAAACAGG